rnacentral:lncRNA from 10 species
AACUGGCGGCUGCAGGUGGUCAUGGUGCCAAGGAGGGAGGUGAGCGAGUGAGCAGUUGGCUGAAAGAAGGAAAGGUGCUCAGGAAGGCUGAGAGCGUGCUGUGGCUGCCUCCAACCCCAGAGACCUUUAUAUGCAGCUGGGGAAGGCGGGGCCCUCCUAACUGCUGACUCCAGGUUCCCCUCUGGAUUUCAUCACUCCCGGUCCCGUCCAACUCCUCACUCUGGAUUAUUCAGCCCAGGAUCAACUCUGCUGUGUGCCGGCUCAGAGUUCCCACCCAGCUUUGGGGGUGUGGGGCCGAGAGAAAAACACAGAAAUGCGAGUUCGGUGGUGACUCAGGCUAGGCGGUGGGGAAUCAGGCUCCCUUUCCUGGAGCCCUCGGGGCCAGUCGGGCCUUGGCACAGGUGGCUUUGUGGCAACUGCGUCCCCAGGCAGUGAGUCAGCCCUUCAGAAGAACUCCCUGCCCCACAGUGACAGCCUUGGCUGAAAGAGAGCUCAGUGAUGCCAUCCUGGGCUGUCUUGGGGAGCAGUUGUGGGGAUCCCACAUGUCCCACUCUGGGCAGGGGCAGAGUUCCUGUCUUCACUCUGCUUGCUGUGUGGCCUGAGGCUCCCCACCUCCCACCUCUGGGCCUGUUUCCCCUCAGUGACCAGGCUGGACUGGGUGACUGCAGAGUCCCUUCUGUUCUAAAAAUCCUAUAACUCUCUUUCCCCUCUUGGAUCUAAUUCCAGUUCCAGAGGCUGCCUUGAGCCCCCGGGAUCUCCAGAAGUGUGUGCACCAUACAAACAGCACUGGCCAUGGAGCUAGACAGGCGGCACUGAGUCCCUGCUCUGCCCUUACCAACUGUACAGCACAGGCUGGUCCUAUAGCCCCUUGGUCCUCAGUUUUCUCAUCUGUAAAAGGGGAUGACACACCACUAGCCACAAAGAAACAUGCGCGAAGGACCCCACCGGCCCUUCCCCGAGGGCCAGCCCUGCCCCUCAGCCUCCCCAUCCUGCCCCUCCAGCCACCUGCUCCUCACACUCACCUCUACACACUGGCACCAUCCCGCACCCCUAAGCAGGGCCCUGCGCCCCCCACACUCCCAGCUGAAGAACACCACAGCCCCACACCUAGCUCUGCCACUCCUCUACCGCCCUCUCCUAAUCACAGGCACCCCACCUGCAGGCUGGUGGGAGGGAGCCCCAUCCUGCCACUACAGCCAGGUAUGACCCCUGACCCCACCUGGGCCUCAGAGUCCCCCCCUACCCUGUAGAAACAGGACUAGCCGGGGAUCCGUUCCCAGCAGUUCUCUCUCCUGUGUCCACAGAUCCCAGGCUAGGCCUGGCAGCUCCAUUCAUCCAGCUGAGCUGGGGGAGAGCACUGGUUAUGGGCCCACUCAGGCAUGCAUGGAGAGCCCAGUGUGUGCCAUACAGUUCUGUGAGCGUAGAGAUUCACUCAAAGUCACUCUGCUUUAAGCUGCAGAGCUGCAACUAGAACCCAGAACUCUGGCCCUCUCCAGGCUCCCACCAUGCCUGCAGGCGGGGCCAGUAUACCCAACUCUCACCCACCUCCCCACGAUCACUGGCAGGAGGUCUGCCCAUGGUGGGCAUGGCCUUGGCCUGAGAGCCUGGUCCAGCACCGAGGACUGGAGGGAGGAUGGAGGGGUCUGGGCACCAAGACGGGGCCUCCUCAGGGUGCUGUGGGGCAUCCCUCGGUGCUGGCCACUGGCCUUGCUCUGCAGUGUCUCUGUUGAGGUGAGGAGCCCAGAGACAGCCUGCUUCUGCCUGAGCUCCACUGGGGCAGGCAAUUCCUUGUCUCAGCAGAACCAGGGUUUUGUCACUGCUACAUCUCCCCUGGUCAUUCAUCCCAGAGGUAAGAGCAGAACGGAUGCACAUCCCUUCAGAGUCAAACCUGGGAGAGGGAACCUGACACUCCUCACCCCUACCCCAAAAAGGGGCAAAGGGGACCCCGGAAUCUUGGACAAAAACCUCAGUGUUCAGGUGUCAGGUUGGGCCUGGAGUUCUGGUCCAUCCACAGACCCAUCACCCUCAGAACUGAAAAUGGUCUUCAAGGUCACCAAAGGCUAUUAAUACCCCAACUGGAGAGAGCGAAAGCCUUAUCCAGGUUAAGCAGCACAAAAGUGAGAGAGCAGAGACUCGAGCCAGCUCUAACUCCCAAGCCAGGAUUCACACCGACUCUCGUAGUAGAGUCUCUGAGAACUCUUCACUCUCUGCCCCCAUCGUGUGUGCAUGCACACACACCCCUUUCUCAUUGGCUCACUGCCCCCCACCAAGUUCCCCAUUCCAGGAGGUGUCAGGGCGGGAUUAUACACAAGCCCAGCACUGCAGACCUGGGGAUCUGCAUGGGCUGAGAAGCUGCAGGAAGUUGCUGACCAACGCGCCAAACUGCUCAGCCAACUCCAUAGAUCACGCACCUGCUGUGUGUACAGCUCUCGGGGGCUGGGGGUGAAGAGGGAGAUGAUGACAUAGUCUCUGACCUUAGAAGAACUUAUCAUUUGACCCUGGAGGGAAAACUAAUGCUGGAAAAUACAGAACCUGGCUAGAAACCCUGGGGUGCUGGGCUUGCCUGCCAUGCCCACACCACAGGAGGCAGCUGGGGUAGGCAUUGCCCCGCUGAGCCUCAGCAGUAGAGGAGGGGGCUGCCCUCCUGGCCUUGAUCCCUGAAAGGGUCCUAGCAGAGAGAGGCACCAGCAGGGCCUCAGAGGAUCUGAGUUGACAGAGGAGGAGGAGGAGGCGUUUCCUGUGCACCAGUGAUGCACACCUGCCCCAAGGUGGCCAAGAGCCAGGACCACUAAGCCUGGUGAGCACAGAGAAGCCCAGUGGGCAUCCUCCAGGCAGAGGAUUCCUCCCCACACCCUGCCUCCUUCCUCCCUCCUUCGUACUGCCCAUGUCAAGCAUGAGGCAUGAGAUCAUGGCAUACCUGAGGCAGCCGGGAAACACCAUUGGCCAAUGCCACGCCUUGACUUGCAGUGAUUCUCCAACCAGACAGAUCGUCAGAGUCCCCAUGAAGAUUUGC